rnacentral:lncRNA from 1 species
GGAUGGAGAAAUAUAUAAUAUUAUUAGUACAAUAAGAUAAUGGAGAUAAAGAAAGCUAAGGCAUGCAUGCGUGAUGUGGUUGCGAUCCAAGUCAGCGCCACCGUGGGCAACAUGCACGCAUAUCUCACACUAUCUAGCCCCCAUUUGGCAUGGCUCUCCUACCGGCUCUUGCGGCAGCUUUUGCACAAGCUGUACCAAACGCCUCAAAUGAAAACGGCUUCAACCCGUGAGCCGCGCAAAAGCCACUAGCAAAAACAACUGGACGGGAUGAGCCGUAAAAAAUGGCUUCCCCCGGCUUCUCUCCAUCCACGUACGUGAUUUUCCAUCUUUCUCCCCGACUGCUCUCCUCCCCGGCGCACGCGCGCUGAUGGCCGCCUCCCAGCGCCGUGCCCCACCGGCUCCUUGC